CCGUGUUCGGUCAAAGAUUCUGCUGCUAAGAUUGUGUAUGUGUGUCGGAAUCCUCUGGACAUGUUCAUUUCCUAUUGGAAAUUCAGUGUCAAUAUCCCGAAGGAGAAUGAGAAACACCUUUCACUAGGAGACGCUUUUGACAAGUUCUGUCAGGGACUUCAUGGCUACGGUCCAUUUUGGGAUCAUUUAUUAGGGUAUUGGAAGGCAAGCUUGGAGAGACCUGAUAAGGUCUUGUUUCUGAAAUACGAGGACAUUAAAAAGAACAAUGUCCCUAGCAUCAAGAAGCUGGCUACCUUUCUGGGGCUUCCUUUCUCUGUGGAGGAAGAGAAGCAAGGUUUGAUAGAGGAAACAUCAAGGCUAUGCAGCGUUGAAAGCAUGAAAAACCAUGAAGCAACCAUGACAGGCACAGGCCCUCUUGGGAUCCCAGCUAGUGCCUUCCUCAGGAAAGGAAAGGUGGGAGAUUCACUGAAUUAUCUAACACCCUCAAUGGUGAGCCGUGUGGAGAAUCUGAUUCAAGAGAAGCUCCAAGAUUCUGGUCUCUGCUUCUGUCUGUCUAGCACUUUCCAAAAUAGUGCUUGACUUGAGUUCAGAUAUACAGCAUUAAUGUUAUUGCUGUAUUGAUCUAUAUUUAAUGAUUGAAAAAAUAAGAUAUCUAUAGAGAAUAAGUGAUGAAAGAAUUGAAAUGAGAGGAGAGAAAGUCAAAUCAACGAUUUCUUGUUUUAUUUUCUGGAUAUGCAUGUGGAAGGAACCUAUAUAUGGAGAGAAUGGAAUUAACUUUCCGUCACUCAAAGAACUUUCAUCUGUUUUUGCAUGGUUAUCAUGCCUAGUCAAAUUCAUGAUUAGAUAAAUUCAAAACAGCAUAAUUUCUAAAAGAAUUAAAAGUAGAAAAUGACUUCAUUUUAAUUUUUCUUAAAAAAAAAACAUGUUCUUUUCUGGGUUUUGAUUAGAUCAUGGCUAGAUCUAUUAGGUUGACCAAAUCAACUCUUCCAAUUUAUUUUAAUAUAAAAUCCUAUUCGGAUCAAAUCUUAGGUUCACAAGUCACUAAGUUAAUCGAUUAGGUCAGGUUUUAUAAUUAUAUAUUUUUAUGACAAGCUAUAUUUUUGCUUAAAUUCAUAAUUUUGAAAUUUGAUCUUUUAUAGAUUAGAACUAGAUAGGUGGCUCACACUUUAUUGCGGGCGGGCUGGUUUUUUUAUAAUGUUAAAAAAUGAUUCUCAAGCGUUGCCAUCGUGUUUAAAAGAAGGGGAAAAAAUUAAUGUUCAUUCAAUUAUAUGAUAUAUUAAACAAUAACAAUAAACGAAUUGAAUCUUAAAAGAAAACGUGGUAAUGAUAACCAAAAGAAAAGGAACCUUUCUUCAUGGGGAAAAAAUCACAAAGCCGAAUUCCAAGAUAACCCUUAAAGGACAAAAUAAGAAAUGACAAAAUAAAAUGCAGUCAACCCGAGUUAGCAUGCUAAACUUGUAACCCUGGUCAUGAGGUCUCUCCAGCCUCAAAGAAAACAAAUUGAAAAAAAUAAUGAAAAGAAACCUAAAAAAAAUAAAACAUUUGCAAAACUGGGUAAAGUAGCCAAAGCUCGCAUGUAAAACCUCUGGGUGAAAAAUUAUAAAUUGACUAGUUUCAUGUAAAACAAAAAGAAAUACAUUUGUAACUCUGGGUUGUAUUGGCUAUUGAUAGAGAAUAGCUGGAUGUUGGGUAAUUCGUAUGGAAUUACCAGUUUGAUUGUUGGCUAUUUAAGAGGGUUAGCCGAGUUUGAGGUAAAAUUAUGAAUUACCAAAUUAAAAAUUAAGCAAUGAGUGUUGGUUACAGAGGUCCUAUAAGUAUAAGAUUAAUAAAUUAUGAAUGGGUUAUUAAUGUUGAUAUAUAGUAAGUUGGCGAUGAAAGAUAAUUUGAUAUAUUUUGAAGACUUGUGAACAUAAUAGUUUUAUCAUCUUUAAUGUGUUAUCUUCCGUAUUUCUUAUAAAUGUUAUGUAUACAGGUUUUUCACGAGGUGAUGCGGAGCGUUAAAUAUGGGCUUUGUGUAUUAAUCUGUUUAUUUUGUGGGAUGUAAUAUAUUUGCUUUAUAUGUAAUUUGUAUUAUAUGUAGAUUGUGAUUUAUGUAUCAUGAAAAUGUUUGCUUUUGGUACUUAUAAAUUUAAAAUGUAUGAGUAAAGAACUAAUAUUAUUAAACUAUUCAAAAAGGAAUAUUUAGUAAUUAUAAUCAUGCAUGUUUAAAAGAUGGAUGCAUGUUAAUGUAAUAGUUAGUUCAAUAUGAAUCUUUUGAGUUUAUAAUUGUUUGUAAUUAAUGUGUUAUUUGUUGAUGAUAUAAGGUUGAGAAAAUACAAUGAAGUAUAGUUAUGUGAAAUAUUAUUUGAUGAGAUGGGAUAUGAUCCAGGAUGGUUGGAUCAAAGUGAAAGUUUUGAGUAUUGUGAUUGAAUGAAGUCUAGUCGAUAACUUAGUAACAUCAGAAAAUAAAGAAAAUUGUGCUGAAAUUUCAAAAAAAAAAAUCCCAUAAUCUUAGACAUACUAUCCAAUACUUGACAUUUUAGUAAAGAAAUGUUUGAUAUUUCAUGACAUUAUAAUUUGAGGGUGUUACAUCGCAAGCUGGAUCAUGCGAUUGGGUUAACCUAAUAAAAGGCAAAACAAGAAAAAUGAUGAAGCUUAAUUUUAAAUUGAACCCAAUUUUAAAGGACAAAGUCGAAAAAAAAUUAAAAAAAAACUCCAAAAAAAUAGUUGGGUUAAUCAGUUAAACCUGCUGCCUGGAUCAUGAGAUCAGGAUAACUUGAUUGAAAAAAAACCAAAGAAAAUCAUGAGGUUCAUUUUUCAAAAAAAAUCAACAUCAAAGAAUGAAAUUGAAAAAGAAAUAAGUGAAAAAGAUGAUGCCGAUCCAAGUUAACUUUUUAAACACGUGACUUAAGUCAUUAAACCAGAAGCACCCCAUUUGAAAAAUCAUGAAGUCUAAUUUCUAAUAAAUAAAAUAUAGAAGGUUAACAUAUCUUAAUUUUAAAAAGAACCUAGUUUUGAAAAAUGAAAUUGAAAAAUGAUAUAAAAAGAGAUUCUAAAGAAAUUAUCUGGUUAACCGACUAAAUUUAUUGACCAGGUCAUGAGACUAGAAUAACGUGAUUGAAAGAAAAUCAAAGGAGAUCAUGAAGUCUAUGUUUCAAAAUAAGCAACUUCAGAGGAUAAAUUGGAAAAAAAAAUAAGUGAAAAAAAUGAUGGCAUCUCGUGUUGACUUUUCAAACCCGUGACCCAACUCACUAAACUGGAAGCACCCCAUUUAAAAAAAUCAUGAAACCUAAUUUCUAAUAAAUCAAAUGUUGAAGGAUGAUAAAGCUUAAUUUUAAAAAGAACCCAAUUUUUAAGGAAAAAAUAAAAAAAAAACAUAUAAAAAAAUGACUUCAAAAAAAUGAUUAGUUUAACCAGCCAAACGUGCUGCUUAGUUCAUAAAAUCAGGAUAACUUGAUUGAAAGAAAAUUGAAGAAAAUCGUGAAGCCUAUUUUUCAGAAUAAAUAACGUCGAAUGAUGAAAUUAAAAAUUAAAUACAAAAAUUUCAUGUUAGCUUUUCAAACUCGUGACCCAAGUCGUUAAACCAGAAGCAACAAUUGAAAAAUCAUAAAAUCUAAUUCUCAAUAAAUCAGACAUCAAAAGAUGAUAUUUUAAAACAAAAAUUAUAAAAAAUAUCAAAAAACAAAAAAUAACAAUUAAGAUAAUGAAGACCAAAUGUGAAAUAAAAAAACAAAUGAGAGACAGUUUAAAAUUUUAAAUUGAAGGGUAAAAAAAAAAAGUCCAAUUCAUAAAAGAAUCUAAAAAAAAUCAAAAUUAAAAUAAAAAAAAUGAUGACCAGAUUUGAAAAAAUAAAAUAUCAUAAUUAUAAAUUUAAUGAUAAAAUUAAAAAUAAAUUGAGGUUUGACAAAAGAGUUGAAAUAUCGGAUAAAUUUUAAAUUUUAAAUGAGAAACAUGGUUUCAAGGGGAAAAAAAAAAUAGAAAAAAAUAUUCCAUUUACAAUACACCGUGGCCUAAACCACCACAAGUAUCGCCGUAUGUUAAAGCCAUGGCGCUUCCAACGCGGUUGUAGAAAGCGAUAUUUAGGUGCUAGAUGACCCCAUAAGCCCAAAGGGCAAGGCCAUUCCCUCACGCCGCCUUUGUUUUAAAUGUAUUUAUACUUGUUAAACUACUAAAAUGCCCCUCGAUUAUAGCCAUUAUAACAAAAAACAAUGAUAGAAUAAAGAGAUUUUGUUUUCAGGAAUAAUUUAGCCAUUGUAGCUAAAAUGCCCCUCGAUAAGCUAGCAAAGUGAUUUUUUUUUCUUUUAAGGAGGUGAUACACUGAUUAUAUUUAACCGGAACAAGUCCCUGGCCGCAGAUGCUAUCUCCGACCGAGCAAAGGGCCUUGUUAAUAAAUACCUAAAUAGGCGUGUUCUUAGUCUAGCCAAGAUUGCCCAUUCCCUGUCCUUCAAGUUGCGCUACGGAGCCCCCUUAAGAUUCAAGAAAGAACGGAUAGGUCCAGCAGAGGGAACUUCACGCUGCCAUUGGAGAGAAGAUGCAGCUGAUAGCUAGACAGAGAGCUUAUUCCUACUAGAAAUUUGGAUAGGACUAACAGCAGCUGGGAAACGAGAGAGAAGAUGCAGCUACCUUUUCAGGAUCUUGAUAUGGUAAAUACCUUUCAUAUAUUCUUGCAUGGUUUUAAACCCGGCAUGGUUUAUGAUCUAUGCGGGUGGGUUAGUCCAAGACGAUUCACUUGGUUCAUAUGAUUAACUCUCAGAUGCUGUUUGGUAAUGUGGUUGCGGAUGAGGUUCACCCGCAAUCAUAUAUUUGAGUGUUUGGUAACAAAGAAAAAAGUGAUUUUCAUUGGUGGGACCCACCAAUUUUAACUGUUGCACCACAGGUUUGGAGAAGCAGCAUUUGGUAAUAAAGUUGUUUUUUUUUUUUUGAAAAACCAGUGCAGUUAAUUUAUUUCACUCGCACUGUUCACGUGAACAUGAACUUCUAAUUUUUUUUUGUUUUUUUAAAAAAUUAGUUUAAGGUGAAUUAAAUUUACUCGUACUGUAAUCUCAAUUUUAUUCCUGAUAAUAUGUUACCUAAUUUUAUUGCACGCUCAAAAAAUCAUGAAAACUGUAGUUCUUGUCGAAUAAAUUUUGGACGUAAUGAAAUUGUAAUUUUUUUUUAAAAAAAUUGAGUUUUACUUGAAAACUAGUAUUUAAUAUUAUUUAAUAACACUAUAUAAAUUAGAAGGAUAUCGUAUGAUGACAUAGCAUUUGUGAAAUUUGAUCGCAAUUCCAAUUAUGUUCUUGUCGGGUCCGACCCAGUUAAAAAAAAUUCAGUUUUUAUUUUUAUUUUAAUUGUGUUUUAUUCAUUAAAUUAGAAGGAUAUCGCUUGAUGACGUAACAAAAAAUUCAGUUUUUGUUGUUGCGUGCUUAAGAAACCAUGAAAAAUAUAGUCAUUGUUGGAUAUAUUUCGUAUGUGAUGACAUUGCAUGUAGUUCAAUGGAAUAAUAAAUAAAUUUUGAUAUCAAUAUUAUUUAUUUCAUGAUGUAAUAAUAGUAGUUAAAUCUACAAUAUUUAAAUUAAAAAUAUUUUUAAUUAUUUUAUAACCUCAAUUUGAAAAGCAUUUUUUUAACCAAACACAUUAAACUACUUUUUCUUCAACCUUAAUUUCAACCACAGUUUUAACCAAACACCUAUUUUUUCAAACCAACCUCAACUAAAAAUAUUUUUUAUAAAACAACUUUUUUCAAACCACAACCACAACAGCAACCGCAAUACCAAACACACUCUCAACCUAGUUUAAUAUAAAACUCAAUUUGGAUAGGCCUCAGAUCAGUAAAUUAUCGGAUUAACUUGCUGGGCUGAGGAUAAAUUCUAUAACAAUGUAUUUUUGUGAUAAAUUAUAUUUUUGCUUACAUAUAUAAAUUAAAAAAAGGUUCAAGAUUUGAUCUCUUAUAGAUUAGAAUAAGUUGUCGAUAUUAAUUUUGUCGGGGUCGCAACUUGGCAAGCAUGAUCGUGUUGAUAGAGACAGCACUAGUCAUGCUACAACUUUUUGUGCUCUUACCAAAUUGAGUUUACUUUGAAUCAACUCUAAUUGUGAAUUCAACCCUUGCGCAUGACCGCAGAACCACCUUCCCACCCACGCACGAAGGUUCAAGCCUAUUUGCAAAUCCCAACCAUAAUACCCUUCAAUGAUAUAUAUAUAUAUAUAUAUAUAUAUAAAAGACAUGCUGUGAUCUCAAGAAUCAAGAAAUUCUACUCGUCAUAUUUCAUUGUUUUCUUGAAUAAUCUUCUUCCUUGUCAGUGUGAUUCUCAGUCUGAUGGAGGGUGUGGAAAUCACUGUAGAGGAAGAGCAGAGAGAUGAAUCCCAGGAGUUGCUUCAACACCUCCCAACAGAAAUAGGUAUGGGAGGUAAUCUUCUCUAUCUAUACCAAGGAUUCUGGUGUCCACAGGUAUCAAUCAAGGGCAUGAUGUUGUUUCAACAACACUUCAAGGCACAAGAAACUGACCUCAUACUUGCCAGCAUUCCAAAAUCAGGUACCACUUGGUUAAAGGCCUUGACUUAUACUAUAGUUAAUCGCUCUCAUCACUCACUUGAAAAGAGCCCUUUGCUCACCAAUGGCCCUCAUGGGGUGGUCCCCUUUCUUGAGUUUGAUAUCAGCUCCAGAAACCAGUUUCUGGAACAAGACAAGCUUCCCGAGCCUAGGAUUUUCGGAACCCACUCACCUUACACGGCACUCCCGUGUUCGGUCAAAGAUUCUGCUGCUAAGAUUGUGUAUGUGUGUCGGAAUCCUCUGGACAUGUUCAUUUCCUAUUGGAAAUUCAGUGUCAAUAUCCCAAAGGAGAAUGAGAAACACCUUUCACUAGGAGAUGCUUUUGACAAGUUCUGUCAGGGACUUCAUGGCUACGGUCCAUUUUGGGAUCAUUUAUUAGGGUAUUGGAAGGCAAGCUUGGAG
rnacentral:lncRNA from 1 species